CAUCACCGUGUGUGAUUCGCCCGCCGAAAUGGGCCAGAAAAUGAAGGAGCGGCUCGGGCGGUAGCCGGGGAGGGAUUGUCGAUGGAACGAACAUUUGCGAUUAUCAAACCGGAUGCGGUGGCGGCCGGUCAUACGGGCGCGAUCCUGGCCAUGAUUCAGAAGGAGGGCUUCGCCAUCCGCGGGCUCAAGAUGAUCCGGAUCAC
rnacentral:misc_RNA from 1 species